GAGCCUCAACAGAGUAGGAACUCAGCACACAGGAGAGAAAAAUGCAAGACAAAAUAAGACGAAGAGGGGCCAGUGCGCGGCUCAGUGAUGGACCCACCAAAGCCCGAGCACAGUCCUACAGCAAGACUCUAUUCCACAAGAGAUGACAGGGGGAAAGCUUUAUUGCUCCGAGUUUGUAUCGAUCGGGGCCCCUCUGAGGGGGGAGGCCGGAGGACGCGCUGAGCAGGCCCUUUCUCAACGACCGUGGCUCCAACAACCAACCCCCCCCCCCGCCUCUCCUCUCCUCUCCACCCCACCUCACCAGCAACCCCCCCCCCCCCCCUCCAAACCCUCCUCUUGCUCGCUAGCUCGCUCUGAAAUUCAAAUUCAAGGCUCUUAUUCUCAAAGGUUAGGAGACGGAGAGCACAGGAGAGCAAGAGCGGAGGAGAGACAGAGGGAUUGAAUGAAAGAGAGACAGAGGCGUCUGGCUUCUUCCCCCGACUGAAGCCCUGAAUGGAGCCAGGAUCUGAUAAGCAGGGCUCACAAACACAAACAAGGGAAUAAAUAGAGAAAUAAACACCAAGAGGAAUAUAUCAGCCCCACAUCCUUUUCCUGUCUUCCUCAUCUCAUUUUAUUUUUCACUGACUGUCUCCCCCCUCCAUACUGUAUCUCCAUUAUUUUUUCCAAGGUGAGAAUGAUUGUGU